rnacentral:rRNA from 1 species
UACGAAGGGAGCUAGCGUUGUUCGGAAUCACUGGGCGUAAAGCGCACGUAGGCGGAUGUGUCAGUCAGGGGUGAAAUCCCGGAGCUCAACUUCGGAACUGCCUUUGAUACAGCACGUCUUGAGUCCGAUAGAGGUGGGUGGAAUUCCUAGUGUAGAGGUGAAAUUCGUAGAUAUUAGGAAGAACACCGGUGGCGAAGGCGGCCCACUGGUCCGGUACUGACGCUGAGGUGCGAAAGCGUGGGGAGCAAACAGG